UACGAAGGGGGCUAGCGUUGUUCGGAAUCACUGGGCGUAAAGCGCACGUAGGCGGAUCUUUAAGUCAGAGGUGAAAUCCCAAGGCUCAACCUUGGAACUGCCUUUGAUACUGGGGAUCUUGAGUCCGGGAGAGGUGAGUGGAACUGCGAGUGUAGAGGUGAAAUUCGUAGAUAUUCGCAAGAACACCAGUGGCGAAGGCGGCUCACUGGCCCGGUACUGACGCUGAGGUGCGAAGGCGUGGGGAGCAAACAGG
rnacentral:rRNA from 1 species